AGCAGCCGCGGUAAUUCCAGCUCCAAUAGCGUAUAUUAAAGUUGUUGCAGUUAAAAAGCUCGUAGUUGAAUUUCGGGAUCAGUACGCUGGUCAUGCCUUUGGUAUGCACUGGUGUCACUGGUUUCUCCCUUCUGAAGAUCCGUGAUGUCAUUAAUUUGGUGUCGCGGGGAAUCAGGACUGUUACUUUGAAAAAAUUAGAGUGUUUAAAGCAGGCUCACGCUUGAAUACCAUUAGCAUGGAAUAAUGAAAUAGGACGUUUGACCCUAUUUUGUUGGUUUCUAGGAUCGACGUAAUGAUUAAUAGGGAUAGUUGGGGGCAUUAGUAUUCAAUUGUCAGAGGUGAAAUUCUUGGAUUUAUUGAAGACUAACUACUGCGAAAGCAUUUGCCAAGGAUGUUUUCAUUAAUCAAGAACGAAAGUUAGGGGAUCGAAGACGAUCAGAUACCGUCGUAGUCUUAACCAUAAACUAUGCCGACUAGGGAUCGGAUGAUGUUAAUUUUAUAAUGACUCAUUCGGCGCCUUACG
rnacentral:rRNA from 1 species